rnacentral:tRNA from 1 species
CAAUUUAAAGCUUAAUUAGUAAAGCAUUUCGUUUACAUCGAAAAUAAAAACGUGCAAAUCGUUUUAGAUUGA